GUCUCCCAGUACAGUGACUUCAUGCCUUAUUGAUGUCGGGCUGGACUCUGGGGUUUGUUUGUUAAUGGAACAUUCGUGAACGUCACCGAAGCAGAGGCUUUAAAUGUGCUUGCAAGGUCUGGCGUGGCUUCCUGGACCUCAGUCGUGUGCCAGGAGAAACUGCUGGUCCAAGCGUAAGAGACACAGGGAGCUGACCUGAACCGGACCCACAGCCUGAAGCAGAACCACUCCAGUGGUUAUGCACAAGACUUCUCUCCCCAGGAGACAGUUACAAGACAAUUGGACCUAAAGAUCAUUUGAGACUCACUGAGGAGGCUGCAUUCAAACCCUUUCUCCCCAGCACCUAACCAGUGCUCAUGGGCCAACUAUGAGUGUUCCUGCUGGGCCCGGGAGACUUCUGGGCCCCAGGAGAGACCUGACUUGGAGAUACCAAGUACCCAGGAGAACUGUCCAUCAUGAACCGAGUAUUAUCUUCUCUACCAAACUACAAAAUGAAACACGUCUAAAAUAAAAUAUUUUUUU
rnacentral:lncRNA from 1 species